rnacentral:rRNA from 1 species
GACGAACGCUGGCGGCGUGCUUAACACAUGCAAGUCGAACGAAGUGGCGAACGGGUGAGUAAUGCGUAAUCAACCUGCCCUUCAGAGGGGUACAACAGUUGGAAACGACUCCUAAUACCGCAUACUGAAGGAGGGGUAUGCGUCUGAUUAGCUAGUUGGAGGGGUAACGGCCUACCAAGGCGAUGAUCGAUAGCCGGUCUGAGGGGGUGAACGGCCACAAUGGGGAUGGGACACGGCCCAGACUGCUUCGGGGAGCAGCAGUGGGGAAUCUUCCGCAAUGGAGGAAAGUCUGACGGAGCAACGCCGGGGGAGUUAUGACGGCCUUCGGGUUGUAAAACUCUGUUAAUCGGGACGCGGUACCGGAAUAGAAAGCCACGGCUAACUACGUGCCAGCAGCCGCGGUAAUUC